CCUACGGGAGGCAGCAGUGAGGAAUAUUGGUCAAUGGGCGGGAGCCUGAACCAGCCAAGUCGCGUGAGGGAAGACGGUCCUAUGGAUUGUAAACCUCUUUAGGCGGGGAGCAAUGCCGGGCACGCGUGUCCGGAGGGAGAGUACCCGCAGAAAAAGCAUCGGCUAACUCCGUGCCAGCAGCCGCGGUAAUACGGAGGAUGCGAGCGUUAUCCGGAUUUAUUGGGUUUAAAGGGUGCGCAGGCGGAGGUGCAAGUCAGUGGUCAAAUUGCGGGGCUCAACCCAGUACUGCCGUUGAAACUGCAUCC
rnacentral:rRNA from 1 species